AGGUAACGUAGAUUUGUGCAUGUCUUCCACCUGCGGCAAUGCGUGAAUUUGGUUCCAACAAUUGGUGCUUUCAUUCAGAGUGAACUCAUAUUCCUCUCGAUCAAAUCACUCUACCCCUCUGGAAGCUCCUCUUAAGUGAUCACACUGCACCCGACCAUCUCCCUACAUGACGUCGACCUCAAGAACGAUGAAAUUUCUACCAUAAAUCAAAUAUGGGAAAACCUAAAUGCAAAUGUGUGUAUCUUUAGAAGAUCU
rnacentral:lncRNA from 1 species